CCCUCUCUAUACAGUACUGGAUCUAAUGUUAUUCUUUGCCGACUGCAAAUCGUUUUCUUUUCUUCCCUUUCUUCUCUUUAUCCUCCUCUCCGAACUAGCACCACCAUCUUCAUCGUCGCCGCCACCACCACCUUUAAUCCUCCACCACGUCCUAGACCACCACCUCCUAUACUUCCACCAAAUUAAUCCACCACCACCUCUUAAAUUUAUUGAUGAAUGAUCAGGAAACUAGUUCCCAAAACUGAGAUCUCGAUUAUUAGAAACAUAUUCAUUUGGAUUUCAACUGGACUUUGCUUGAAGAACCUAAAAUUGGGGAUAACAUUAUUAGUUCGUAGAGAGUUUCUGCGUCGAUUGGGAAGAUUCAAUCAUCAAAAUCGAAGAAAAAGAUAAGUUUUAUCUCUUGCGAUUAUAAAUCUUUGCAUUGUUUAAUUGAAGUUUGGUUGCUACUUUGUUUUUGUUCAUGGAUCUAUGGAUACAAAUGGAGUUGCUAAUCUUCAAGAAGAAAUUAAGAGAUUAGUGAGCAGUGAUGAAUGACUAAACGUUUCCCGAUCGGUGUUGAUUAUUGAAUUACCAUAUUCAGUGACCAAAAAUCUUUUAAUGACCUUAUAUUGUGUGUGUAUGAGCCUUUCUUAUUUGGUAUAUUUUUCCCUGUCUAAUUGAUUAAGAUUUGAUCAUAACAAAAAUUGAUUUGGUGCUAUGAUUGUAAAAAUUCUUCAUCCUGAAUUGUCAAUGGCAUGACAAACUCUUUUUACCUAGAUAAUAUGAGCAAUAUUUCUCUAUGAAUGUUAUCAUUAAUCGCUUUGAAUUAAUUUUACUUUUUUUGGGGUUUUUUUAUGUAUCAGAUUUUGUUAAGUAUUUCAUGAGAUUGGUUUAAUGACUGUUAAAUUUCCUUGUAAGAAUGGUAACUUGCAUGAUAGACUCAAUCUACCUGAAGCCCAAAUGUGGGUUUGCUGUUUCAUUGGGUAUUGUAGUAUCUUGUGACUUAAUUCAUUUGCAUUCAUGUACACAGCUCAUUUAAUAUGUACGUGACAUGAAUAUGUAUUAGUAAUAGCACAUGAAUAUGUACUAGUAAUAGCACAUGAUAUGUAUCUAGUAAUUCGAAGCAGGUUAAAGACAAAAUCAACUAAACGGGGAAGUCGUGUAAUUGUUCCAUUUUGAUUUGGAUGCUCAAUGUUGCGUGUUUGGCAUGUUAUGCAGCAGUAAGACACCAUUUCGUAUUAUCAUGCGGCUUACACUGGCCUGGAAUUUGAAAGUGAAUGUAUUUAAAAUUCAUAUUGAUCUUUGCUUUGACUUUUGUUCCAGUGAGAACAAUACAGGCAGUGGUGCAGCUGUUUGAAAAUGCAUUGGAUCUGUUCGAAGAUGAUCCUUCAAUUCAAUGUAUUACAUCAAAUUUUGGAUCAAUUUUAGUUGUUGACACAAGAUUUGGCGGGGUUGCAGUGAAGUGGUGAUAUAUUUGUUUUGUUGUAAUUUGGAAUAAACAAAUAUAUUAUGUGAAUAAGGGCGUUAAGGGUAAUUUAUAUUUACAUA